CGACUGAAACCUUUUCUACGAUAGAACACUCCUGGACGAAUGAGGGACUACACCGUCUUAUUUAGAGCACUUUUCAUGCAAGGGAAACCUGCAUUCAAGUAAAGAUUCCCUGCUAGAGUGGAAAAACUGAAGGGGGGUGGACCACAGCAAAAUCAUGGACAUGGUAUGAUACAGCGGAUGAAGCAACAGGUGGCUGGAUGUCUAUAACACCAAGCAAGUAAGGACAGGCCUUACUGCUUGAGGGAGAUACUCCCGGGAGGAAAGCACAUUCUCUGUGACUGAGGAAAGAAAGGAACAGAGAGAAAGGAAGGCACAAAAGGAAGAGGAAUGUUUGAGAAUUGAGAAAGAAUGGUUAGAUAAUUGCAAGAGAAAAGUAAAAAAAGAGAGAAAAGACAGGUAGACAGCAGAUAGGAAGGAGCACAUCUUCCUCUUUUACUUUAAAGUUACUUAAAAACUAGUUUAGAUUCAAUAUUUGGCAUAUACUGUUACUUGAGAACACAUGUUCAAUAAUCUUUUUCCUGUGCUGUCGCCUCCAAGCUAUAACUGCAGUGGCUGUGUAGUGCACCCAGCUGGUCAGAAGGGACUACUACACAUUAUUUUACCUCAUCUGAGAUGGGCUUCCUGUGCAACUCCCUGUGUAAAAUACAAAGUAUUUUGUUAUUCAUUACAAAAUGCACUCUAAGUUUCUCCACAGAGUAUUGUAAAAAAAAAAAAAUUAAAAAAGCAUGUUUUUCCCUCAAAUAUCGUUUCAUUUCAAUAUGUCAUUAAGAAAAUA